rnacentral:rRNA from 1 species
UACAGAGGGGGCAAGCGUUGUUCGGAAUUACUGGGCGUAAAGGGCGCGUAGGCGGCCAACUAAGUCAUACGUGAAAUCCCUCAGCUUAACUGGGGAACUGCGUGUGAUACUGGAUGGCUUGGAUUUGGGAGAGGGAUGCGGAAUUCCAGGUGUAGCGGUGAAAUGCGUAGAUAUCUGGAGGAACACCGGUGGCGAAGGCGGCAUCCUGGACCAAUAUUGACGCUGAGGAGCGAAAGCCAGGGGAGCAAAGCGGGGAUUAAGAA